CACUUUCAUGGUUCAGAAAGAUGGUCAGAAAUUGUUAUUGAGAAUGUCUAGUUCUAAACAGAGCUUUGACAAAUUUUAGAUGAUGAAUGUCAAUCCAUCAAUUUUAUUGGGAAUUUCAAAGUUCGUUUAGCGUGGUUUGUUUUCAUAAGAAAGGAACUUGGGAGUUAUUAAAUCCAAUAUAACUUGAAAAGCUUUAAUAUUUUUACUGUUAAUGCUUAUAUGGAUUUUAAAAACUGCCUAAAACCACCAAUGUGAUUUCUUUAAUGGUAUGAAGUAUAUUCCUUCCUGACGUGUGGGAUUUUACCGAUUUUACCUUACAAAAUCGAUUAUAAGAGAGUACACCUUGCUUUCUUACCUCAAGAAAGUUACAUUCAUUUCUGAAGCAGGCUGGAGGAAUGAAAAGCUUUUUCCAACUACCUCAUGAAGUCUCCAGGCCAUGUGUCAUUUAUUAUGUCAUGAAUGUUUUUAGAAAUUCAGCAUGCUCGAAAGAAUCUAAAUCAAAAUGGGCGGGAUUCCCCGGAACGAGCACAAGCCAGCGGACCAGCUUGUGAGGCAUAAUGCAAUUUUGAUGUUGUGUAAGCGCUGCUCUUAGCCCAUCAUCUAUGCUAAUUAAGUUAAUUAAAAAGUACCAGCAAAGUAUUUGCACUUGGCCAACUUCACGUCAUAAUCAAAGUGGAGGCGGCGGCGCAUCGAAUGGAAAAUGAAGCCCAAGUCAUGUCAAAUGCUCUUAAAAAGCCAAAGCAUCCCCUUCCUCCAGAGAUGCUGGAUAUGAAGAUGACGAUGAUGAGGGAAACGGAGGUGGAGAUGGAGGAGGAGGAGGAGCUGUUGCCGGGGAUGACUAUGUUGCCAUCCACAGAGUGAAGUGUCUUUAUUUAAAAAUGAAGAGACCUGAGACCAAAAAACGGGGCCAAUUAUAAGCUACGUCAUUAAUUUGAAUAAAAUUCCUAAUUCUCCCAAACACACACAAAAUGAAAAUGCCACAAAAGAAAUGUGCCACAAGAAGAAAAAUAUGUCCAAAACGGAAAAUAACGGGGGCCGAAUGACAGCAGACGGUGGCAAAUAAAACAUUUAGGCGGAAUUAUAAUUUUACUUUGCUUAUUUAUAAUUUACGUUUAAAAUGUGAAACACCUGACAGCUAAAGAGAAUUUAUGUUUGCAUGUUUUCCAUUAAUUUAUUUUUCCGAGGCGCACCCCUCCCAAGAAAACUGCCAAGACAGCUCCACAGCUCCAGCCUCGAAUUGCACGAAAAUGCACAGCAGGAGGGUGCUCCCGCGGGCAGAAGGCAUCGGGAGGAGCCAGAAGACGGGCACAUUUCGCUAUCACGUUUGGACUAUAAAACAGGCCAGCCCCGGCCACACAGUUGAAGCCCAAGCCCAAGCCCCAGUCCCAGUUCCAGUCCCCGAAACACACUGAUGAUGUUGUUGAUGACGUGGAGCGCCUAGCGAGUGCAUAGCUCCGCCGAAAAUGGCAAUCGGGCAACCCAAGACACUGGUCCCGACCAGAAAGCAGGAGCUUCACACUCGAAGAAACAAGACACUCGAAAUGGGAGCUUGAUUCAUAUACGGGAUAGAAUGUAUAUAUCAUACAGCACAUAGAAUUCUCCUUCAAAAACGGGGACCAAAAUACGGAAUCAAAGUUUUCCAGCGAGUGUAAUAACUUGUAUUUGAAUUUAAAUAAGUGGCAAAAGCAUUAUGUUCAAAUAAGGAACGUACUGUGAUAAAAAUGGCUUAUUUUUCCGAGUGUACAGCUGGCACAGACACAAAGACAGCAGAAGACGGAGACGUCUCGACGCAGUGCAAAAACUUGUCAAGUAAAUAUAAACGAAAUGUGUGGCACGGCACCCGGCCGGGCCAAAAGACGCAGACGCUAUAGCAGCAGAAGCAGCCGAAGCAGCAGCAACACACAUAAAAAAUAUUUUUAUGCAAAAUUUUUAUGAUUUCCGUCUGGUUGCGACAGCGGCAUGGGCACAAAGAGACUUCGAGGCACACAAGCCGGCCCAAUUCUGAUUCUGAAGCCGAUUCCGAUCGCAAUUGCGAUUGCGAUGGUCCAAGCCAUCUCCUUCACCUGGUUUCAAUUAAAAGACACUUUUCUUUUA